CUAAUCUUUGUUUUACAGAUGAGAUGUCUCAGGCACAGAGAGGCCACAGCUGGUAAGAGGUGGAGUGGAUUCAAACUCAGGCAAGUUCGCCCUUUUCAUCAACAGGUCUUUAAUCCAUCUGGAGCUCACAUGUGUAUGUGGCAUUGAUGUGGCAGGCCAGGUCCGAGGACCCAGAGGGGAUCCUCCAGAACCAGCCAAGAAGAUCCCUGAGGAUGGAAAUCAAAUGCGAGCCAGCAGGAAGUGAGAGUUUAUUGAUGACACAGAGAGGGCAGAUACAGACAGAGCAUCUGAGAGACUCAGAAAGCAAAUGCAGGAGAGUCUCAUCUUUGCUUGGGGGUCUAGAGUGUUCCCUGAAGAUGGUGGUCUGGUGUACGUAUCCUCUCUGGCAUCCAGGAACUGGUCGAACAAGGACCAGUGCUCAGGUGUCCUCCAUAAGUCACUUAUGCCUAGAGCCCGGGGGUCUUGGUGUUCAAGGUGUUUGCAGUCAGAGGUCUCGGACAACGUUCAUGAGGACUCCACCCAGUCCUGUAUCUAUUGCUCUGGAAGGAUCCAAAGAAAUCAUUAACUCCUUGACCUUUACAAGGAGGACAUACAUGAAGACAUAUGUAAGGCAGGUCCUAGCAGGAAUAGAGGCAGGAAAAGGAGCAAAGAAAAAAACAGCUUUUUUUUUCUUCAUGGAGUUCCUUCACUUUCCCUUUCUCAGUAUUAUGUAGGGAUCCAGUCUUUUUUUUCUCAAGUUCAUUUAUUCAUCUUUAGAUUGAGAGAGAAAGCGCGCUAACACAAGCAGAGGGAGGGAGAGAGAGAGAAACCCAAGCAGGCUCUGCACUGUCUGCACAGAGCCUGAUGUGGGGCUGGAACGCACGAACCCUGAGGUUACUGAUCUGAGCUGAAAUCAAGAGUAGUCCGCUUAACUGACUGAGCCACCCAGGUGCCCCUGUAGGGAUCCGGUUUUAUUUCUCUCCAAAAUGCAAGCCAGUUUUUCUAAGACCACUCUUUCUCCACUGCUGUGUGGUGCCUAAAGAUGCCAUAUUUGUCAUGACUUGGCCGAGCCUUCUUGAGACUACGGAUAAGCCAGAAGAAAGCCCAACUGAGAUUGGAGACAGGGAGAGAUGCCACAGUUUGAGCUCCAGAUAUUUUUAAAGCCAGAAAUCUCCUAUUUUUGUUUUUGCUUGGGUUUUUGUCAAUUGCAACUGAAAUGUCUAGUACAACCAUGAUGCCCUAAUAUAGUUGCUAUCUGGAAGUUAAUUUCAUAUAUUGCUAAGAUUCAAAUGAUAAUAAUUCCAGUCAACAUAAUUUAUUCUUAGUUGUAUCAAUUAAUUGAAUCUGUGGUUCAUUUAGUUGGGAUUCUUUUGUUCUCUUUGAACCUGGGGUAGAAGAAUAUUAUACAGUCAAAAAUGUGUUUUCAUUCUGACAUAAUUGGAAAAGAUUUUGAGAAACUGAGAGUGAAAAAGUUCACAGGGAAAACAGAGUGGGGAGAAAUCUUUGGGCUAGGCAAAGAUUUCUUACAUACAAACCACAAAGCUUAAUCCAUAACAAGAAAUAGGUAAGUGAGAGUAUCUCAAAAUUAAAACUUUUCUCUCUUUGAAAGACACUACUGAGAGAAAGAAAACACAAGCAAUAGCCUAGAAGAAAAUAUUUGCAAAACACUUAUUUGAUAAAGGACUUGUAGCCAAUACAUAAAGAACUUUCAAAACUUAAUAAUAAGAAAACACUCAGGGCGCCUGGGUGGCUCAGUCGGUUAAGCGUCGGACUUCAGCUCAGGUCAUGAUCUCACCGCUUGUGAGUUUGAGCCCUGUGUCAGGCUCUGUGCUGACAGUUCGGAGCCUGGAGCCUACUUCAGAUUCUGUGUUUCCCCCUCUCUCUGCCACUCCCCUGCUUGUGUUCUGUCUCUCUGUCUCAAAAAUAAACAAACAUUAAAAAAAUUUUUUUAAAAAGAACAGAAACCCAUUCUCUCACAGUUCUGGAAGCUAGAAGUCUGAAAUCAAGGUACAGGCAGGUUGGUUCCUUCUCAGGGCUGUGAGGGAGAAUCUGUCCCCUGUCUUUCUCCUAGUUGCUGGGCAUGGCCUGCAAUCCUUAGCUUUCCUUGACUUGCAGAUGCAUUACUCCAAUCUCUGCCUUUGUCUUCACAUGGCCAUCUUCUCCCUGUGUUCUCCAUCUCUGCAUCUUUCCUACUCUUCUUACACCCUAAUCAAGUAUGGCCUCAUCUUAACUUUGCAGAUUACAUCUACAAAGACUUUAUUUCCAAAUAGGGUCACAUUCACAGGAACGUGAAUGGGGUUAGUAUUUCACAUAUCUUUUUGGAGGACACAAUUCAAUCCAUAAUAUAUGUGAGCUAGAAUAUUCAUAGAAGUAUUAUUUGUAAAAGUGUAGAACUAAAAACUAUUCAACUGUUCAUCAAUAGUCAAACAAGUAAAUAAAUCAUGGUAAAUUCAUGCAGUGGAAUACCAUAAAGUAAUGAAAAUUCACAGCCUACAACUACAGACAACAAAAUGGGUGAAUUUCACAAGAAUUAUGCUGAGGAAAAUAAAUGAAAGACAAACAGUAUAUACUGUAUGAUUCUAUUUGUAUAAAACACAAAACCAGGCAAAACUAUUCAGUGAGAAGUUAGGAGAAUGGGUACACAUGGGGGAGUCAGUGACUGGAAGGGAAUGUGAGGAAGGUUUUCUGGGGUGCUGGAAAUCUUGGUUAUUGAUCUGGUUGUUGUUUAUGUGGGUGAGUUUAGUUUAUAAAAAUUCACUAGACUCUACACUUAUAAUACAUGCCCUCCUAUGUCUGUUAUACUUUGGAUUAAAAGAUUUUUUUAAGUCAUGGUUAUGACAUGAGGUUUCUCUAAUAUAUCUAGAUUUAAUUUCUACA